GGGAGAGCUGGUGCGAGAUCGUGGGUAAAAAUUAGGGGGGAGGCGUUAUGCGGGUUUAAUGGGGGUAAAGCGAACGCAGGCGGGCGCGUAAGUCGGAGGUGAAAGCUCCUGGCUCAACUGGGAGAGGUCGUUCGGAACUGCGCGGCUUGAGGUUGGAAGAGGAGAGCGGAAUUCCCGGUGUAGUGGUGGAAUGCGUAGAUAUCGGGAGGAACACCAGUGGCGAAAGUGGCUCUCUGGUCCACACCUGACGCUCAGGUGCGAAAGCGUGGGUAGCGAACGGGAUUAGAUACCCCAGUAGUC
rnacentral:rRNA from 1 species